AACAAAUUUCACAGCCUCUUUAAUUCUUCGCAAUAGAAAAAUAAAAUAAAAUAUUUCUUUUUUAUCGUACUUUUUCACUGCACGUAUAAACGAGACCACACUUUCUGAAUUAAACUUAAAAAAAGAUAAAAUCUAGAGCAUUAUCGUUAUUUUAUAUUUAUUUUAAAUGCAUAUUUUAUGUAUACGGCGAAAAAAAAAAAUCUUAAAUAAUUCAACAUUCUUUCUGUGUUCUAUUUUAUAUAAAUAUUUCUUAUUUUUUAAAAUAGCAACAGUACAAAUUACUUAUU
rnacentral:lncRNA from 1 species